GAUGAACGCUGACAGAAUGCUUAACACAUGCAAGUCAACUUGAAUUUGGGUUUUUAACUUAGAUUUGGGUGGCGGACGGGUGAGCAACGCGUAAAGAACUUGCCUCACAGCUAGGGACAACAUUUAGAAAUGAAUGCUAAUACCUGAUAUUAUGAUUUUAAGGCAUCUUAGAAUUAUGAAAGCUAUAAGCACUGCGAGAGAGCUUUGCGUCCCAUUAGCUAGUUGGAGAGGUAACAGCUCACCAAGGCAAUGAUGGGUAGCCGGCCUGAGAGGGUGAACGGCCACAAGGGGACUGAGACACGGCCCUUACUCCUACGGGAGGCAGCAGUGGGGAAUAUUGGACAAUGGACCGAGAGUCUGAUCCAGCAAUUCUGUGUGCACGAUGAAGUUUUUCGGAAUGUAAAGUGCUUUCAGUUGGGAAGAAAGAAAUGACGGUACCAACAGAAGAAGUGACGGCUAAAUACGUGCCAGCAGCCGCGGUAAUACGUAUGUCACGAGCGUUAUCCGGAUUUAUUGGGCGUAAAGCGCGUCUAGGUGGUUAUGUAAGUCUGAUGUGAAAAUGCAGGGCUCAACUCUGUAUUGCGUUGGAAACUGUAUAACUAGAGUACUGGAGAGGUAAGCGGAACUACAAGUGUAGAGGUGAAAUUCGUAGAUAUUUGUAGGAAUGCCGAUGGGGAAGCCAGCUUACUGGACAGAUACUGACGCUAAAGCGCGAAAGCGUGGGUAGCAAACAGG
rnacentral:rRNA from 1 species